rnacentral:rRNA from 1 species
CAGUAGCCGCGGGAAUACGUAGGGUGCGAGCGUUGUCCGGAAUUACUGGGCGUAAAGAGCUCGUAGGCGGUUUGUCGCGUCGUCUGUGAAAUUCUGCAGCUUAACUGUAGGCGUGCAGGCGAUACGGGCAGACUUGAGUACUACAGGGGAGACUGGAAUUCCUGGUGUAGCGGUGAAAUGCGCAGAUAUCAGGAGGAACACCGGUGGCGAAGGCGGGUCUCUUGGUAGUAACUGACGCUGAGGAGCGAAAGCGUGGGUAGCGAACAGGAUUAGAUACCCCUGUAGUCCCUGUCUCUUAUAC